UACGGAGGAUCCAAGCGUUAUCCGGAUUUAUUGGGUUUAAAGGGUGCGUAGGCGGAAAUUUAAGUCAGUGGUGAAAGCCUGCAGCUUAACUGCAGAACUGCCAUUGAAACUAUUUUUCUUGAGUACAGUUGGAGUGGGCGGAAUAUGGCAUGUAGCGGUGAAAUGCAUAGAUAUGCCAUAGAACACCCAUCGCGAAGGCAGCUCACUAAACUGUAACUGACGCUGAGGCACGAAAGCGUGGGGAGCGAACAGG
rnacentral:misc_RNA from 1 species